AACGAACGCUGGCGGCACGCCUCAUACAUGCAAGUCGAGCGCGAAACCACCUUCGGGUGAUGUAGAGCGGCGAACGGGUGAGUAACAGGUGGGUAAUCUGCCCUUUGGCGGGGGACAACAGCUGGAAACGGCUGCUAAUACCGCAUGUGAUUGUGGACUUAUGGUCUGCAAGGAAAGGCGCCUCAAAGCGCCACCAAAGGAUGAGCCCGCCCCCCAUUAGCUAGUUGGUGAGAUAACAGCUCACCAAGGCAUCGAUGGGUAGCCGAGCUGAGAGGUUGAUCGGCCACACUGGAACUGAGACACGGUCCAGACACCUACGGGUGGCAGCAGUAGGGAAUAUUGCGCAAUGGGCGAAAGCCUGACGCAGCGAUGCCGCGUGAGUGACGAAGGUCUUAGGAUUGUAAAGCUCUUUUCUGAGGGAAGAAUAGGUCUGGUAGGAAAUGACUGGAUUCUGACGGUACCUCAGGAAUAAGGAACGGCUAACCG
rnacentral:rRNA from 1 species